rnacentral:tRNA from 1 species
CAGGACGUAGCUAAACGUAUAGCACCUCCCUUACACCGAGAAGAUGCCCGUGCAAGACAGGCCGCCCUGA